rnacentral:rRNA from 1 species
GACGAACGCUGGCGGCGUGCUUAACACAUGCAAGUCGAGCGGUAAGGCUCCUUCGGGAGUACACGAGCGGCGAACGGGUGAGUAACACGUGAGCAACCUGCCCUUCUCAUCGGAAUAAGCGUUGGAAACGACGUCUAAUGCCGAAUAUGACUUCGGAAGGCAUCUUCUGAAGUGGAAAGCUCCGGCGGAGAAGGAUGGGCUCGCGGCCUAUCAGCUAGUUGGUGAGGUAAUGGCUCACCAAGGCGACGACGGGUAGCCGGCCUGAGAGGGUGACCGGCCACACUGGGACUGAGACACGGCCCAGACUCCUACGGGUGGCUG